UUUUUAUUAUUUUAUGUUGGUUGGAUGGUACUCACUGUUUUUUGGUGUCAAAUCUGACAUUCAAAUUAAAAUUCUCUUGAGAAUCUUUAAGUGCGCUGAAAGUAGUUAUUUGUGAAGUCCAUUUGUUAUUGUUCGUUGUUUUUCUUUUUGAUUUGCAGUUUUCGUUCCUUUUUUAUUUGUUUUGUGGUGUUUCGUUCCCAUUUUGUCGUUUCAACUCGUUUAGUGUUUCGUUAUUAUUUCAUAGUUUAAUUAGUGUUUGUUUUUUGUUGUUUUGUUCCUAUUUGGUCGUUUAACUUCAGUUAGUGGUUCGUUAUUAUUACAUAGUUUAAGUUGUUACGUUAAUUUUACUGGGACGAAAAUGCGGUUCCACAAAAAAUGCAUUGUGCCCCAGUGCCCUGCCAAGUACUCAAAGUCUUUCCAUCAGUUUCCCUCUGAGCCCCUCUUAAGAGAAAAAUGGCUACAUAAAGUAGAGAAGUUUUGUUCUCCAACGCAGCAGAUCGUCAGUCAGUACUCAACCAUUUGCAAUUUGCACUUUAAACCCACAGAUUUUAAAUUUGCAGCAAAUGGUAGUAAACGCUUGCAAAAAAAUGCAGUUCCAACAGUUUUUCAUGUAUAUUUAUUUACAUUUUAAACUUAACAGAAAUAAAAUUAUAGUUUUUAUAGGG